GAGGGGUGGGAGGGGGCGGGAGGGUCGAGCGGAGCGCGGGUGUGGGAAGAGGGAGGGAGCGGGGCGGGCCGGGAGGAGGCGGGGGCCGGCCGGGCCGGCGACGGGCGGGGAGAGCGGGGCGGCCACCCGCCGCCCCCGGCCCUCGCCCGCCCGCGAGCCGCGCGGCCUGCCGAGCGGGGCCUGCCCCCGCCGGCAGCAGACAGAAGGCCAUUUCUGAGUUACACCGAAAACGUGUUACUUCGCCAGAGGGCCGGGCCGGGGCCGCCGGGCCCAAUCUUGGGCCGAGCCGAGCGUCGGCGGAGGGGGGCUGUCAGUCACCGGGAACCCUCGGUGAAAGGGGCCCCUUGUCAACUUCCCCUGCCUUUGAAGUGACUGGGAUGGAGGUGCUCAAUUAAAAGCCCAUCAGUCUGGUCAGGGCCCCGUAAAUCCUGUACUGGAUCGCCGCCACCUGGAUCGGGAUGAAAGCGCCGGCGCGGCCGGGCGCGCGCUCAGGCCUCUCCCGCGGCCCCGGGAGCGCGCGCGAGGCUGGGCGGCCGGAGCGCGAGGUCUGUGGCGCACAGAGGUAGACCUCCCGAGUGACCGACGGAGCCACGGUGCCCAGGGCUGGGGAGGGAGCGAGAGCCUGAGACGACAGACCAAGAUGGAAGGCACUGGAAGAAGAGGCCCGAAGUUGGUUGAGACAGGUGCCCUAAAAACUCACCCAGAAUGUUACGAACAAAUAGACGCCUCGAGAACACCAGGAGGUGUUCUGGAUGGCAUUUCUCGGACACUGGGUUCCGAGUCCCAGAGAGUGAGCUGUUUCCCCAGCUCUCCUCGCAUGCCCCCUGGCAGCCCCCGAAUGUCACUUAGCCAAGGGAAUGGUGGUAGGGAGGGCGCAGAAGCUCAGGGCAUUGCUAAGCGAUGCCCUGGGUCAGACCUCAAAAUACAGGUUGGUCAGAACCUGGUCUUCUGCAACAAAAGGAUAUGAACGAACAAACUGGACCAGGGUGUCAGGUUCUGAUCACUGUCCUGAGCGAGUCGCUAAGAAACACUUUGUUCCAGCGCUUUUCUUCUAGGCUCUGUGGGUUGUUUUGUGGAUUCUUUCUGCUCUGAGAUCAAACUCUGGCUUUCCCCUCACUGCAGGCCAGAAAGAAAGGCGGGGUAGGGAGAAGAGGAGACGACACAGCUGUAUUUUGGGCUGGAAGGAGGAGCUGGGUAGGAGGUGAAGGGCAGGGGAGGAGUCAGGAAGAAGGUGGAGCUUCCAGCCCAGGAGAACAAGGCCUGCUUUUUAAGGAAGGAAAGAACAGUCUUUCCUCAAAUGGCUGUUCCAGAGCCGCCCCAAGGCAGAGCUCACUCUGAGUGGUGAUGUUUCAUAUUUAAAAGGGCCAUCACAGGCUUUCCCAGUUGAUAGAAUAAUACACCAAAGAAAUCAAGAGAUGGAAGUGGAGCAGGAAAGACUGAAGAAGAGAACUUCUUCCUCUGACCCUAUCAUGGACCUUGACGCCCAGUCUAGAUGACUUCUCACUAGACAAAAUUCUGAAGAAUGAAACAGGACCUCAGCAGACACCAUACGAAAAAAUCAACUAGAUGGAUUAAAGACUUGAAUGUAAGACAUGAAACCUUAAAACUCCUAGAAGAAAACAUAGGGAGUAAGCUCCAUGACCUAGAUUUUAUUUGGAUUUGACACCAAAAGCAAAGGCAAUAAAAACUAAAAUAAGCAAAUGGGACUACAUCGAACUAGAAAGCUUCUGCACAGCAAAGGGAAACCACCAGUGAAAUGAAAGGGCACCCUACUGAAUGGGAGAAAAUAUUUGCAAAUCGUAUAUCUGAUAAGAGGUUAAUAUCCAAAAGAGUUCAGACAGCUCUAUCACACACACAAAAAAACCCCAAAAUCAAACAAACCCACACAACAAACCAAACCAAACCAACAACAACAAUAAAAAAACCCAAACUAUCCAAUUAAAAAAUUGGCAGAGGAACUGAAUAGGUAUUUUGCCAAAGAAGACGAACAAAUGGCCAACGGGUACAUGAAAAGAUGCUCAACAUCACUAAUCAUCAGGGAAAUGCAAAUCAAAACCACAAUGAGAGAUAUGACCACACUCUUGUUAGAAUGGCCAUCAUCAAAAAGACAAGACAUAACAAGCAUUGGUGGUGGUGGUGGUGGGGGGGGAUGUAGAGAAAAGGGAAGCCUUGGGCACUGUUGGUGGAAAUGUAAAUUGGUGCAGCAAGUGUGGAAAACACUAUGGAGGUGCCUCAAAAAUUAAAAAUAGAACUGCCAGAUGAUCCAGCAGUGCCACUUUUGGGUAUGUAUCCAACAGAAAUAAAAACAGGAUCUCCAAGAAAUGUCUUCACUCUCCUGUUUAUUGCAGCAUUAUUCACAGUAGCCAAGAUGUGGAAACAACUUAAGUGACCAUCAGUGGAUGAAUGGGUAAAAACGUGGUGUAUAUAUAUAUGUACAAUGGAAUAUGAUUUAGCCAUGAGAAAGAAGGAAAGCUUGCCAUUUGGAACAACAUGGAUGGACCUUGAGAGCAUUAUGCUAAGUAAAAAAAAUGACAGAGAAGACAAAUGAAGUAUGCUCUCAUGUAUGUCUGGAAUCUAAAAAAAGCUGAAUUCAUAAAAACAGAGACUAGAAUGGUGGUUACAGGGGCUGGCAGAGUCGGGGAAUUGGGGAGAUACUGGUCAAAGAGUAUAAACUUCUGGAUAUAAGAUGAAUAAGUUCUAAGGAUCUAAUUUAUAGCAUAUUAAAAUGCUGUUAGUUAACUAUUGUUAAUACAAUUAGUUAAAAUACUGUAUCGUGUAUUUGAAGUUUGCCAAGAGAGUGGGUCUUAAAUGUUCUCACCACAAAAGAAAUGGUAAUGAAGUGACAAGAUGGAGCUGUUAGCUCACAGUACGGUGGUAUACAUUGCAUUUUGUAAUAGGUAAGUCCGUCACCUUAAACUGAAACAAUGUAGUAUGUUAAUUAUAUCUCAACCAAGCUGGAAAACAAAAAAUUCUCAAAGACGUUCAAGACGUGUACAUUCAUCCUCAUCCUCUCCAGGACUGCGUGAUAAGAACUGCUUGCUGCAAUUCCUGUGGACAGGGCACCACCACCACUGCCACGUGGUUGGGCCAGUGUGUGCAGUUUUCUCUCAAGCCGGGUACCCAUUGCUCCAUUGUAAACUCAUUCAUUCCAUCAUCAAGACGCAGCAGAGUGCAGCAGCAUAUUCCUUAUUCCUCUGAGUUGAUAGACGUGUCGACCACCCAUCCAGCGUGUCAGUGAGACCUUUCACAGAGAUGAGGAAUGGUUUACAGCUACUUUACAAUGUGGGCGAAUUAUCUAUCCUUCAUAUUUUCAUUCAUUCAACCAACAUUUACAGGUAUUUAGUAUUUACAACUUAGAGGUUCUUCUCGAAGCCCUGGGAAUAUAGCAGUGAAUAUGAUGGGCAAGGUCAAGAGAUAUGUGGAAGCUUUUACAAAGUACUGGGGUGUUUGACCUAAUUUUUAUUUAUUUGUCAUGCAUACACUCCCGACAGGGAUAUUUGCUAAGCACCUACUACGUCUAAGUAAUGUGUACCACAAGGAGGCAAGGAAGAAUCAAAAACGAAUCCUAUCCUCCUGGAGGAGAGGGAAGACACACAUCAUGAAUAAAUCGGAUGCAUCGUUUAAAGUGGUGGGGGCCAUAAGCCGGGAAAGGACAGGAGAGAGUUCAGAGAGAAAAGGUGAACUUCUCAGAUCAGGCCUGGUCACCAAAGAGUGGUUCUCAGCCUCUUUCUGGCAGCAGUACAUUUCCCCCCCUUGCCAACCACCGUCACCAGGAAUCUGGAGGAAUCUGCAGAUGAGUGGGGUGGGCACUGUGUUCAUGCUGGCCACGAGGACAGACGGAUUCUGCUGGAACAUGGAGGAAGAGGACUUCAUGGACGGGGUGAUGUUGACCCGGGAUCUUGAAGGAUAAGUACAAAUUCACCGGGGACAGCGCUGAGGGGAUGGCAGCAGGAGGAACAGAGUCCAGGGUGCUGGGAGCAUGGUCUGCGAGGGAAGGGGGCCUGGGAAACGUAGGGUGGGGCCAUCUUUUGGGAGAUGCUGUUGCCCUAAGGAUUAGGCUCUAUGUCAGUGAGAGAAGUCCUAGGAAGUUUUGCGCAGGGGAGGGGGGCGGUGAGGGACAGUGGUGAUGGGCAGAGAGCUGCCCCCAUGAGGAACUUCUGAGUGGUGGUGAUCUCAGGGGAGACUGCAAGGCCUAAGAUUGUAUCCACAACCAAAUAAUAAUCAAACAACAACCGCUAUUCAAAAGGUUGGGAACUAUUGGGAGGUCUAAUCCAAUAUUGCUACCUACCCAUACUUUUUUUUUUUCAGGGAUGGGGAACUAGUUGAUUUUAAGAGAAAUAUCUGUUCAUUCAUAAAACAAAUAUUUGCUUCUUGUAAGAAAACCAAACGUUGCAGAUAAGAAUAAGUUUGAGAUGCGCUCAAGGCCAACUUCGGCCUUGGUAUUUGGUCCAAAUCUGAUAUUUGGCGUCAGUUUUGGGUUUGGCCUUUGGAGGGCCGGGUAGUUGAUGCCAACUCCAGCAUCAUUUCUGGCAUCCCCAAACCUGUGUGUGAUCGACGGUUGUGGGAUUGCUUCGUAUCUAAUCACAACAACAGCGGAGCUAUGAACAAGGCGUGGCAUUCACAUUUAUUAAUAGCUGCACAUUUGCUUUGAAAGAGAGGCAAGCCCUCUAGAUGUAACUUGGAGUGGGAAUCCCUUUUGCGCUUUAUAUGUUGAAAUGAUAUCUAUCAGUUGAAGUACAAAUGUGCAUUUAUAAUUGUAAAAACGAAGCGCUACAGUAACCACGAGACUGGAAGUUAUUAAUUUUAUGCACAAAUUUAUGAACUUUCGAAUAGUUAAAUAAAUAGGGAAAGAGCUGAUACUUCCUGUGCAGGGUAGGAGACAAUAGACUAGCUAGA